AGCAGCAUGGCGCAGUGGUAGCGCGCGGGGCCCAUAAAGGUUACCCCGAGGUCACUUGAUCGAAACAAGUUGCUGCUA